CGGGCGUGAGAGAAGAGAUGGGGCCGAGCUAGUCAGUGAGAGCAAGAGGGAAGUGGCGCAUCCGAGCGGGCCUUGGCCUGUCGCAAAGUGGGCCAUGACUUUGCUGGACUGAGCCAAACGCUAGGCCGAGGGGAAGGGGAAUGAGGCUGAAAGAGAGAGGAAGAUCAGAGCCAGGCUGUGGGAAUAUGGGAAGGCCUUCGAGCCGAAUUCUAGAGAGGAGAGAGUUUUCAUUUUUGUCU
rnacentral:lncRNA from 1 species